ACUAUAUUGAAGAAAUGAGAAUCAUAGGUGACUUGGUUUAACUCUUUAUUACAUAAGUAAGUACUUACAAGAGAAACAAAAGUAAGCUUAGGAAACAAGCUUUAUUGUACAAAGAUAAACCAAAACAGUAAACUAAAAAUUUAUUUCUCCUUCUCCUACUCCCAGAUUUCCAGAAAUUAAAUUCUAACCCUCAAGAGCAUGAUCUGCACAAUAUCAUAAAAGGGGUGAGCUUAAAGCUCAGUAGAGCAAACCUCAUACAUAUAAUUAAUGAUGAUGCAAGACAAAAAAUAACUCCUUAUACUCCAGUUGUUAGUAAUCUUGUACUAAUCUCGGUCACCAGUGUCUUCUUGCCAAACAUUAGAUCGUUUUAUCAAUAUAUAUUGAAGGGGCUUCUCUCCCCAAGUGUAUAUACCAUUGGCUGACAUUGCUGGUCCCUUACGAGUAUUAGACUCAACUACACAACCAUUUUCACUCUCUCUUCAAGCUAGGAUCACAUAAAACAACAUGAUAAUGAACUAAACAUAUAUUUUACACAAUAUAAACAAUCUGAUCAGUAGCAAAUGUCACUCAAAAUCAUAUCAAUAGACUGAUAUAAUCAAACUUGAGGUUCCCCAAAACUUCCCCUACCUUAAAGCUGGUUUAGUAAAGCUGAGGCUUUGUUUCCAGACCUCUCAAAACUUGUUUUCUGGACUUUGCUGACUCUAGAGUCUCUAAAUUAUUUUCUGCUAUGUUUUCUAACUUGUGUUUCUUACUGCAGGUAAAGGCCUUUUUAUACUAGAAGAUGUAAUCAUGAGAACCUAUAUGUAGACUAGCCACCUCCUGUUUAGCUCAGUCAGUUAGAUAAACAUUGGGAGCAGCUUAUUGCCAGCUCCUGCUUAGAAAAAACAUCUGAAGGUUAUCCCAAACUGCCAGCUCCUGCUUUGAGCUUGUUGCCCAAGUUUUAAGCUGCUCUAAGAGCAGCCACUUGCUGCACACACUUAACUUUAUGUCUGCAGGUUCUUAAUUGUGGUUAGAAGUGUGUACACAUGUGUUUCCAAUAAGCUACUAGGUUUUAAAAGCACUUCCAGCUAAAGAAAAAAAAUCAAGAAGAAGGAGCAUAAUAAGCUAAGCAUUUGCUGGAAAUUUUGGUACAUUUGCAAGAAGUAAUGGCAGCAAAUCAAGGAAACUAUAAGUACAAAACAUAAAUAAGAAAUUGAUGUAAUGUGACAUUUGGAAAGAUGUAUUAAUGUAAAAAUAGUACUUGUAGCUAUCUAUGUAAUCUUCUUGAAAACAUGCACAAUCUGUACUAUUUUUUCUUUUCUUUUUCUUUUUGACAAAGAAUGUAAACAGGUAAAUGUUUGCUUUUGUUUGUAAGAAACACUUGUGUUCUACUCUAGCAUUUUGUUAACAAAAGCUAGUUGGUUUUUGAGUUAUAAAAACAAAAUCAGCAGGGAUCAAGUAAUUCAUCA